UCUCUCUGAAUCUGCGAACGGCUCCGCAAACCAGUUGUAAACUAGAGCAAGCUAGUCUGGCGGGCUUCGGCCUCCAGGCGAUAUGGAUAACCCUGGUAAUUCUGAGGCUAAUACAUGACCGCAAAACCGGGCAGCCCAGCAAUGGAUGCCCGGGGAUGUGCGAUAUGGCUUGACAAUAACCGGGAAAGGACGCACACUCAGACCGCGCUAAAAAGGAUCGGGACUCUCUUCGGAGAACCUGGCCCCAGCGGCUCUUGCUGUGUGCUUCUGACCUAUCAACUAGACGGCAGCGUAAUGGACAUGCUAUGGUGACAACGGGUACAGAGGAUUAGGGUUCGAUCCUGGAGAGUGGGCCUGAGAGAUU
rnacentral:rRNA from 1 species